CCUACGGGAGGCAGCAGUGAGGAAUAUUGGUCAAUGGGCGCGAGCCUGAACCAGCCAAGUAGCGUGAAGGAUGACUGCCCUACGGGUUGUAAACUUCUUUUAUAAAGGAAUAAAGUGAGUCACGUGUGCCUUUUUGUAUGUACUUUAUGAAUAAGGAUUGGCUAACUCCGUGCCAGCAGCCGCGGUAAUACGGAGGAUACGAGCGUUAUCCGGAUUGAUUGGGUUUAAAGGGAGCGUAGAUGGGUUGUUAAGUCAGUUGUGAAAGUUUGCGGCUCAACCGUAAAAUUGCAAUUGAUACUGGCAGUCUUGAGUAUAGUUGAGGUAAGCGGAAUUCGUGGUGUAGCAGUGAAAUGCUUAGAUAUCACGAAGAACUCCGAUGGCGAAGGCAGCUUACUAAACUGCAACUGACAUUGAUGCUCGAAAGUGUGGGUAUCAAACAGGAUUAGAUACCCCUGUAGUC
rnacentral:rRNA from 1 species